rnacentral:rRNA from 15 species
AAAAGUAGUUUAAUGUUUUCAAGAAAUAGCAUUUUUGAUAGUAUAACCGUACCUUAAACCAACUCUGGUAGAUAAAUUGAAAAAAUUAAGGCGUUAAGAAAAUUGUAUUUAAGGAACUCGGCAAAAUUGCUCUGUAACUUCGGAAGAAAGAGUACCUUGUUUUGGGUUUGCCCAAUACAAGGUGACAGAAAAUUGAGGAAAGCGACUGUUUAAUAAAAACAUAGGUCUCUGCUAAAUUGUAAAAUGAUGUAUAGAAACUGACGUCUGCCCAGUGCUGUAAGGUUAAAAAACUAGUGUUUAUGAGCACUAAUUUAGAAUCCACAGUAAACGGCGGUUGUAACUCUGACGAUCCAAAGGUAGCGAAAUUCCUUGGCAUUUAAUUGGUGUCCUUGCAUGAAUGACGUAACGACUUUCCUACUGUCUCAAAUACAAACUUAGUGAAAUUGAAUUUUCUGUGAAGAUGCAGAAUAUUUGUCGUUAGACGGAAAGACCCCGUACACCUUUACUAUAAUCAUAUAUUGUAAUGAAGCAAUUAGUUGUUUAGAAUAAGUGGU